rnacentral:rRNA from 1 species
UACAGAGGGUGCGAGCGUUAAUCGGAAUUACUGGGCGUAAAGCGUGCGCAGACGGUCAUGUAAGUCGGGUGUGAAAGCCCCGGGCUCAACCUGGGAAUUGCAUUCGAGACUGCAUGGCUAGGGUGCGGAAGAGGGAAGCGGAAUUUCCGGUGUAGCGGUGAAAUGCGUAGAUAUCCGCAGGAACAUCCGAGGCGAAAGCGGCUUGCUGGAUCGCAACUGACGCUGAGGGACGAAAGCUAGGGGAGCAAACAGG